GUGGUUGUGGCUCAGUGGUAGAGCGCUUGCCUAGCAUGUGUGAGGCACUGGGUUCGAAUCUCAGCACCACA
rnacentral:tRNA from 1 species